GAAUUGGGAAUGAAGAUUUGAAAAAUGCAUAGUUCAACUGACACUUCGUGAUGAACUUUCCAUCAAGCAAUGUCUUUCGCUCCUAUCUGACCCAAUCC
rnacentral:snoRNA from 1 species